rnacentral:pre_miRNA from 1 species
UCAUAUGGAUGAGCAAAGAAAAUGGUUUCUUGAGAUGGAAUCCCCUUCUAGUGAAGAUGCUAUGAA